UACGGAGGGGGGUUAGCGUUGUUCGGAAUUACUGGGCGUAAAGCGUACGUAGGCGGAUUAGUAAGUUAGAGGUGAAAUCCCGGGGCUCAACGUGGGAGGGUCAUUUAGAACUGGCAGACUAGAGUCUUGGAGAGGUAAGUGGAAUUCCUGGUGUAGCAGUGAAAUGCGUGGAUAUCAGGAGGAACAUCAAUGGCGAAGGCAACUUACUGGACAUUUACUGACGCUCAGACACGAAGGCUAGGGUAGCGAAAGGGAUUAGAUACCCCUGUAGUCCUAGCAGUAAACGAUGUGCGCUUGGUGUAGGCGGGUUCGACCCCGUCUGUGCCGGAGCUAACGCGUUAAGCGCACCGCCUGGGGAGUACGGCCGCAAGGCUAAAACUCAAAGAAAUUGACGGGGGACCCGCACAAGCGGUGGAGUAUGUGGCUUAAUUCGAUGCAACGCGUAGAACCUUACCUAGGCUUGACAUGUAUCGCUAAUCCCGCGAAAUCGGGUGAGCCUUCGGGCACUUUACACAGGUGCUGCAUGGCC
rnacentral:rRNA from 1 species